AGGGCACCACCAGGAGUGGAGCCUGCGGCUUAAUUUGACUCAACACGGGAAAACUCACCCGGCCCGGACACCGUAAGGAUUGACAGACUGAGAGCUCUUUCUUAAUUCGGUGGGUGGUGGUGCAUGGCCGUUCUUAGUUGGUGGAGCGAUUUGUCUGGUUAAUUCCGAUAACGAACGAGACUCAGGCCUAUUAAAUAAUCGGAGUAUCCCUCACUACUCCCCCCCACCUACCUGGAAGAACGAGGUUUUACCAGCUGAAAAUGAACAAAAAAAGGCAGGGAUGGCCUUGCAUUUCCCGGCGGGGGCGCGCGCCCCACUGAAAGGAACAGAGAGGGACGCACCCGUGUCCGUAGGAGGAGGGAAUUCGCAUAACCUCUGUCCUGUCUGUGAUAGCGGAAUUGGAAUUAAUUUUCUUUCCCUAGGAAAUUCCAAAAAUGCGGGGGCAAGCGAGCGAUGAUUACGUAUAUGUUUCUGUACACACUGCACGCCGAUACUACCGACUGUAGGACUUAUGGAGAG
rnacentral:rRNA from 1 species